UACGUAGGGGGCGAGCGUUAUCCGGAAUUACUGGGCGUAAAGCGCACGCAGGCGGUCGGGUAAGUCUGAUGUGAAAUCUCACAGCUUAACUGUGAAACUGCAUUGGAUACUAUUCGGCUAGAGAGUUGGAGGGGGGACUGGAAUUCUUGGUGUAGCAGUGAAAUGCGUAGAUAUCAAGAGGAACACCAGUGGCGAAGGCGAGUCCCUGGACAACUUCUGACGCUGAGGCACGAAAGCUAGGGGAGCAAACAGG
rnacentral:rRNA from 1 species